AUGUUUCUAAUCAAAAAAGGAAAUUCUGGAAGAAAGCCUAAGGACAUUAACCUAGAAAAAAUCCUAACGAUCCCAUUAAACAAAAGGUCUACCAUUAGGUCACUUGUCUGGCAACUCGGAUGUAGCCCUACCACACUUCAUAGAAAGUUCAUGUUAAACUUGAUAAGGAGGCAUACAAACUGUGUGAAGCCAGCUCUAAAGGACCAGAAUAAAAAGGAUAGGAUGAAAUUUUGUUUGUCGAUGCUUGAUGAGGCAACAACAGCAACUGCAAGGCCUAAGUUCAAGACUAUGCAUAAUGUUGUCCAUAUCGACGAAAAGUGGUUUAACAUGACAAAGAAGAAUAAAACAUAUUAUCUGUUGGAUGGGCAGGAAGAGCCUACGAGGCCUAUACAUGGCAACUGUAUUGGCAAGGUAAUGUUCUUGACGCCCGUUGCUAGGCCGAGGUGGGACAGUGAAGGAAACGUGACCUUCUCUAGGAAAAUCGAUAUCUGGCCAUUCGUGAAGGAAGUUCCUCCUCAAAGGAGAAGCGACAAUAAGCCCAGAGGUACAAUAGAGGCAGAAUCAAUAGAAGUCGACAGAAAAGUGAUGAGGGAGUUCCUAAUAGAGAAAGUCUUGCCAGCAAUACAAGCUGUUUGGCCCAAAGGUGAUGCUGGACAGACCAUCUACAUUCAACAGGAUAAU
rnacentral:rRNA from 1 species